UACGGGGGGGCAAGGCGUUGUUCGGAAUUACUGGGCGUAAAGGGCGCGAUAGGCGGUGCGUCUAAGUCGGAUGUGAAAACUCUGGGCUCAACCCAGAGCCUGCAUCCGGAAACUGGGGGUGCUAGAGUUCUGGAGGGGAUAGCGGAAGUUCCUGUGUAGCGGUGAAAUGCGUAGAUAUCAGGAGGAACACCGGUGGUGUAGACGGCUUCUGGACCGUAACUGCGCUGAGACACGAAAGCGUGGGUAGCAAACAGGAUAGAUACCCGAG
rnacentral:rRNA from 1 species